rnacentral:rRNA from 1 species
UACGUAGGGUGCAAGCGUUAAUCGGAAUUACUGGGCGUAAAGCGUGCGCAGGCGGUUUGCUAAGACAGGUGUGAAAUCCCCGGGCUUAACCUGGGAACUGCGCUUGUAACUGGCAAGCUUGGAGUGUGGCAGAGGGGGGUGGAAUUCCGACGUGUAGCAGUGAAAUGCGUAGAGAUGAUGGAGGAACACCGAUGGCGAAGGCAGCCCCCUGGGCUAACACUGACGCUCAUGCACGAAAGCGUGGGGAGCAAACAGG